rnacentral:rRNA from 1 species
AACGUAGGACACAAGCGUUAUCCGGAGUUACUGGGCGUAAAGGGCGUGUAGGCGGGAUUAUAAGUCUACUCUGAAAGCUCCUGGCUAAACUGGGAGAGGCGAGUGGAGACUGUAGUUCUAGAGUGAGGAAGAGGAAAGUGGAAUUCCGCGUGUAGUGGUGAAAUGCGUAGAGAUGCGGAGGAACACCGGUGGCGAAAGCGACUUUCUGGUCCUUA